rnacentral:tRNA from 1 species
CGGGGUGUAGCGCAGCUGGCUAGCGCACUUCGUUAGGGACGAAGGGGUCGCGUGUUCAAAUCACGUCACUCCGA